UACGAAGGGUGCUAGCGUUGCUCGGAAUCACUGGGCGUAAAGCGCACGUAGGCGGCUCUUUAAGUCAGGGGUGAAAUCCUGGAGCUCAACUCCAGAACUGCCUUUGAUACUGAGGGGCUUGAGUCCGGGAGAGGUGAGUGGAACUGCGAGUGUAGAGGUGAAAUUCGUAGAUAUUCGGAAGAACACCAGUGGCGAAGGCGGCUCACUGGCCCGUUACCGACGCUCAGGCGCGACAGCGUGGGGAGCAAACAGG
rnacentral:rRNA from 1 species